rnacentral:snRNA from 1 species
AUAAGAAUGUCCUUGAAUUAACUCCGUAGGAAGGAUACAGAGAAGAUUAGGAUGGCCUCUGUGCAAGGAUGGCACGCUUCGAUAUAGAAUUAAUAACAAUAAAU